CACAAAAGGGGGGAAUUGUUAAUAGCUGACAAUCCAAAGGGGCCCCCCAGAGAAGGCCUGUCCUAUACAAUAAGGACAGAAGGCCGUGAUUUCUAUAGCAAGGGGGCCCCACUUUUUAAUCUGGACAAAAACAAAAUGUUAAUCAGGUCUGAAAGCCCUGACGGGUCAAAGCGGUGGGCAGAAAACCGGACUCUUUAACUCUCCCCCCCCUCCUUCUCUUCUUCUCCCACCCCCAACUCAACCCCCAAAGCAGGCCCCAAAGAAGAAGGACUGGCUGUCUCCUCCUCUUUAACUUUAUUUCAUCAAUUAGCUCUUUUGGGGAAAAAAGAAGAAGAAAAAGAAAAAGGAGGGGGAGGAUGAACAGCCCUAGUCAACUGAGGGAAACUUUUAAAAGAGUGCUUUUCUCUUCUUUGCUUCAUCCUGCCAAGGAGAAAGCCACUUCUUCGAAAGAGCAGGGAAUGUGCUCUUGUGACAAGAUCUUAGUCAAUAAACAUCAGAGGCUCAGUAGCCUUGAAAGACGCAUUCUCCCGACCCCUCCGUUCCCUGAAGACACAGUUGAGCAGAGAAAAGAGGGAAGAAAAGACCAGAGUUAUCAGGGCUAG
rnacentral:lncRNA from 11 species